rnacentral:lncRNA from 1 species
UGACUUUAGGAGAUCCUAAGCCAAGCUUGGAACUCUGAAGAGUCUCCCUCAUUAAAAACCUUACAAGGAAAACCCAUUGGGACAAAACCUUGCAAGGGAAAAAGAGUAGAGCUCUUCAAAGCCUAGGGAUUAGCCAGUGAGCUCUUGUGCCUUAGAACCAGUGUGGUUGGACACAAGAAGCUCUGGAUCACGGCCUAACAGGUGCAGCAACUCUUCACAGCUUUGCGCACACUUCACACUUCACACUUCAGCUUCACCUCUUCAUGGAACCGGUUUGAAGUCUCCCCCUCUCAACUGACUUCACAGCCAUCUUAGAGAAGCUAGGACACGACCAGAUCAUCUUCAAAACACUAGUGAGGCUGAUCAACACUUCACACACGGCUUGCCCUCUUCCUAGAACUGGUUUGGAUCUCCCCCUCUCAACAGACUUCUCAGCCAUCUUAGAGAAGCUCGGAACUGACCAGGAACAUCUUUAGUGAGGCUCAAGCAAUGGUACCUGA